AUAUUUGUUUUCGGUAUCGGUUCCCGAGGUGGAGGGCGAAUCCACCGGGAUUAAAAGGGAAUCCUGUGAAAGUCAGGAACUAUCCCCGUAGCUGUAAGUUUCUUUUGGGCGGUACAUUCUCUCUGCCACUGGCCGUUCGGGCCGGGAAGGCGUGCCGUCCGGAACAAGUCAGAAGACCUGCCGUACCGGGACGAGAUUC
rnacentral:ncRNA from 2 species